AGGCUCGAAUAAUCGUACCUUCUCUUCCCAAAUUGUUCAUUUUUGUUUCAAAGCUGAGGGUCAAUUAGGGAGAACGUACUGUAUUUCUGCACGCUUCUCUUACUCCCUUAGUUGGCGCGCACAUUCCCACCAUUUUACUGCACAUCUAAUCCACAGUGGAUUCUGUCACAGCAAUGAAUCGUCAACCAAUCAAAGCAAAUAAAGUUUCUAUGUCGACUCUCGUUGAUGGAUCAAGCUGCGAUUUUGAGAUGUACAGGAGUAGGAUGUAUUACUGUAUAACGUUCGCGCGGUAGACACGCCACGCCGCUGUGCGGAACACCCUGCGCAUAGUGUGAUGCAUAUGUACAUACAUACAGGGUGGUUAUUGAAAGUUAGUAAGGUCUUAAAUCGUAUGAAAAUGAUUAAAAUAGCGACUCGUUAUGUACCAAAAACAAAUUGGUAUUUAUUUAAUUACUCAGUUAAAAAUUCUAUCUUUCCAUACUAAUAUAAUGAUGUAUAAUCACUUCACUUGAGUGAUGUUACCUAAUUCAAUACUCAACACUAAAGUGAAACAUUUUAAAAACGGUUUUAUUCUUUUGUUACUACAUUCACAAUUGUUUGUAUAAUUUUUCUUCCAUUUUGAUGAUUUAAAAGAUUUAAAAGUGGAUCCUUCAUCUUUUCUUCCAACAACUUCACCAAUUCUUUCCUUAUUCGUUGUAAAAGUUGACCAACCUAAACAAUAUUUGUAUAAAUGUGUAAAUAUAAAACAAAUAAACAGUAUCUGUAGAAAUA